UUGCGCGCGAGUUGGGAGAGAAAUAAUUUUGCGCGAGUUGUGCGGGAGUUUUUCACAACGUUGGCCGCGCGAGUCAGCCGAAGAGAGAAAUCGGCGCAGAGAGUAAAUUAUGAGUGUUGGCUCUCGAGGUACAUGCGAGUCGCGCUGUGUGUAAGUUGGCGCAGAGAGGAAGGUGCGAGUAGGGUAUGAGAUAGGCUGGUAUGGUUCUCGAGUUGGGAGAGAAACAAUUCAGUGCGAGUUGUGCGGGAGUCGGGCGCACACGCUUUCUUCCUCACGGACGGACGACUCAUGCAAAAGAGAGUAAACGGCGCACAGAGAGAGUUAAUUAUGAUUGUUGCCGCUCGAGAUGCAUACGAGUCGCACUGUGUGCAAGUUGGCGCACCGGGGAGAGAGGAAGCCGCGAGAUAGGCUGGUAUGGGUCUCGAGUUGGGAGAGAAAUAAUUCAGUGCGAGUUGUGCGGGAGUUGGGCACGCACGUUUUUUCCUCACGGAUGGUCAACUCAUGCAAAGAGAGUAAACAGCGCACAGAGAGAGAGAGAGAGAGAGAGUUACUUAUGAGUGCUGCGCGCGAGAUGUGUGCGAUUCGGUCGCGAGUCGGAAUGAGAGACACGCAGAGAGAAUUUGCGCGAGCCGAGCACUUCACGAGGAUGUGAUUUUUAAUUGUAGCGGUGUAGAACGGAGAGAAAAUAUUUAUCGCAGUAGUGGCGUGACACGCAGUACAUGCAUUUAUAUUUUGUAGCGGGGCGCAUCGGCGCGCUCGAGAAAGAAUUCUUCAGUAAUAUUUCUGCUGGGAUGAAUAAAAAGCAGCACGAGAGAAAAGGUGACCGAAGCCCGAGCAUGUGUGUGGCGGGCAAGUGGCCGCAGAUGUAUCAGCGCGUUAGCUCGGUUGAGGAAAAAACUGCCUUGUGGACACAUAACCCUGUGUGUUCAAUGUGUCGAUAUUGCGUGUGGCGUAUGUGAAAAAACAAUUGUUGGCCAAAUAAAAAUUGCAGGUUCACUCUGAUACAAAUAUUUGUUUUCAAUUAGUGACCUUUGAUCGUAAAGAGGGUGGAGCUUAAAUUAUUGUGGUAGGGCAGGGUCGUGCUUUUAAAAGCCCGUGUCUCAUGUUAAAUCGUCACUCCUGUCACUGUAUCCCGAUGGAGGACACACGAGAGCCACAUACAACGGAGGAGGAAGGCAGGCAGCAAUGUUGCAGCCACGAUCCAGAUAAUGCGAUGGUCAGAGAUGCUGAACUUUUCUGCGCGUUGAUAUACGGACUCAGAGGCGGCAACCCCGGCACAGCACCGCCUGCACAAUAUGUAUUGAGAAGAUCCAGUUUGUAAAUUUUGAAGAACCGCGUGAAUGUUACCACAUAGCCUCUCUCCGCAAGGCAUUUCAAUCGCAGAUAUGUAGUACGAUUUUAUUAUAUCAUUAAUCGCACAAAUAUUUCUUCAUCUGUUCAUAGAUUUCCGAGAGAAACUGCCCAAUGCAGAGCAAGUCAUUAUUCGUUACCGCCAGGCGUUGAAUUUUCUCCUGGUGCACAUUUCUUCAAAAGAUGUUAAAUAUUAAAGCAAAUACUCUGUUUUGUAAGUACGUUCUUCAUAAUGUGAAAUUUACUGUGCGUUGUCUUUAUCGAACAAUAAAAAAGAUCAAAGUGAAUACUUU